CAUUGGAUCACUGGCAUCAAAUAGGCGAUUUUAUAGUUCGUUCAAUACAAAGUGCAACGAUACCUUAAAAGUCAGACAGUAUCAACAGUAUCUUCAGUUUCUGAUCAUUUAAGAAACUGAACUGUUAAAAAACGAUCGCACCUGAAAACCUAGGCUAAACUCUUAGUGCUAGAAGCAUUCUGUGACCUUAGUUCAGUCUCAUCCAGAAGUUAACCAAAAGUCACCAUUCUAGAAUAAUGCAUUUCUUACGACUAUCCAGUAUACCGCUGUUCUUUCUGAUUUUUGUGAGAGGAAAUGCAGACACCACACGGGGAGUUAUAUGUUCCGUGACACCACCACCCUCUCUGCCUACAUCGGUAACGAAUGAACAACUGGCCAGCUCGAUGCAGUGUGCUGUCAACUGCCUGCAUGGGGAAGCAGCAAAUUGCGAAACAAAAGGCUUCACGAUGGAGUGGUCUCCCAUCAACUGUAUUACUGAUGGUUCUGUGGGAACAGGUUCAUACACGAAAUACAGCUGUGCAGUCAGCCCAUAGUCAAACAUGCAACUUUUUUUUUUUUAAAGUUAAUUAAAACCCAUUUUGUAAUCAAUUUUAUUUUAUGAAUUAAUUAACGGGGAUAGCUCUUGCACUUGCCUAAUUAGCCAGUAAUUGUGAAUACAUGUGUUAAAAACAACUGACAAAUUUUAUUUUGGCGAAAUAAUUUCAUGCAAUAAUUGAUAUUUGGUUGGAAAUAACUGGGUUAUUACAAUUUUAAAGUCUAAUAAUAGAUAAUUUGGCAAAACUUUCUGCUCACCAAGAGCUAGCCCUGGUUAAUACGGUUUUGUUUUCUUAUUUAUUAUUAUGAUGAGCUUGACUAUUUUACCGUAUAUGAAAAUGUUCUUUUAUUAUUUUUUUCCUUAAGUACUGGCACCAGCAUAUAAUCUUUAUUUAUUAUUUCACAGCUAUAACACUGUACAAAGUUGGGCUUUUUAAAAUCCGAUUUAAAAUCAGAAUAAUGCUGUAAUAAUUACCAUCAUAAUAAAAUAGCAAUACCUCUUCUACCCAAAUUUAUUACUAAGCUUAGUGAUGUUUUUCAAAACAUUUAUAAUGCUUUGUAGUUCCGAUUUUGUAGUAAAACUCAGAAUGCUAAAAUGUCUACAGUACAUAAUACUAGAAAUGACACAAGAAAUGCCGUGUAUUUGAAACUACAUUCUGGUGCAGUGAACAGUCAGAAAUGUGUGUUAAAGAAGUAAGAACAGAUGUAAAUGUUCUCAUAGUUCUUUUGUGGAAGCCAUUUUGGCACUACUAGAAAGUUGUUGUGAAAUUCAUUUUGAGAAGCACAUUCUCAUGAUCUUGGUUGUGCCAUGAAAUAGUUUCGACUACUCGUUGGUGCCACAUGUCCAAUCAAAAUGUUUUUUUAAAAGUCACAUACAUUGUACACAAAUUUGCUUUGAUUCUUCACCAUUUUAGACUUUUUACACUCUAUGUUGCUACUGUAACAAAACUGACAGUUGGAACCAUUAAAAUGUAUACACAAAGACCACAAGAUAUUUAAUACUACUACUAGGUAAUAUACAAUAUAAUUUGAUAUUUUCUUCAAAAGUCUUCAUUGGUUUAUGUUCAUAUUUGUUUAUCGGAAGAAAUACAACUGCUAAAAACACAUAUACUGUUGUUUGUAUCAUGUAUUCAAUUGUUACUCCAACUAUGCAUUUGUUUACAAUAUUACCAGUUAAUUCAAAUAAUAACACUUACUGAUAUGUAUAUAUUUUAAGACCCUGUUUGAAUAACAGAAUGGUACCAAGUACCUAGUAAUUACAAAAUAAACAUGUUAAAUAUGAAAUGAAAUUCCGUCCAUGUUUACACUGGUUGCAAUAAACACCAUCAUGCAGAAAA
rnacentral:lncRNA from 1 species